rnacentral:rRNA from 1 species
CCUACGGGUGGCAGCAGUGAGGAAUAUUGGUCAAUGGACGAGAGUCUGAACCAGCCAAGUAGCGUGAAGGAUGACUGCCCUAUGGGUUGUAAACUUCUUUUAUAAAGGAAUAAAACGAGGCACGUGUGCCUUUUUGCAUGUACUUUAUGAAUACGGAUCGGCUAACUCCGUGCCAGCAGCCGCGGUAAUACGGAGGGUCCGAGCGUUAUCCGGAUUUAUUGGGUUUAGAGGGAGCGUAGGUGGGUUGUUAAGUCAGUUGUGAAAGUUUGCGGCUCAACCGUAAAAUGGCAAUUGAUACUGGCAGUCUUGAGUACAGAUGAGGUGAGCGGAAUUCGAGGUGUAGCGGUGAAAUGCGUAGAUAUCACGAAGAACCCCGAUUGCGAAGGCAGCUUACUAAACUGUGACUGACACUGAUGCUCGAAAGUGUGGGUAUCAAACAGGAUUAGAUACCCGAGUAGUC